rnacentral:lncRNA from 1 species
AUGGCGACCCGGCACCUCCCUCCCCAAGAAUAUGAAAGUGAUGGUGACUCUUACAAAGUGUUGGAUUUAACUGAGUAUGCCAGAAGACAACACUGGUGGAAUCGAGUGUUUGCCCACAGCUCCGGACCUAUCGUAGAAAAAUACUCAGUAGCCACCCAGAUUGCAGUGGGUGGAGUGAGUGGCUGGUGUGCGGGAUUUUUGUUCCAGAAAGUUCGAAAACUUGCAGCCACUGCGGUAGGUGGUGGCUUUCUUCUCCUUCAGAUGGCCGGUGAUGGUGGCUAUGUGCAGAUCAACUGGAAGAGACGUGAAAAAGAUGUAAACAAAGCAAAAGGACGGAUGAAGAAACGAGCAAAUAAGGCAGCACCCGAAGUCAGUAAUGUAAUAGAAGCAGCAACAGAAUUUGUCAGACAGAACAUUGUUAUAGCCAGUGGACUCGUGGGAGGCUUUUUGCCAGGCCUUGCAUCUUAA